AGGGCCUGUCCUUGGUGAAGCCGUGCAGGUUACCUUGUAUAACCUCCCUCUCCUCCACGUGCUAUAGCACAGCUUCCAGGAGGAUCCACCCCAUCAUCUUCCCCAGCACAGAGGUUAGAGUCAUUGGAACAAUUUGCCAGAGGAUGUGGUGGAUUCUGGAUCUGCAUUGGAGUCUUGAUUGCCAUUGUGAAAGAUACACAGUCCUGAACUCAAAACAGGGUGUAAGUGCCAGCUGAACAAUCUGACAGUCCCACUCGGUUGUGAACACCAAUGAUGUUUCAUCCAUGAUCCAGCAGAAUGAGUGUGGGUCUGGAGGCCAGCAUGUGGGCUCCCAUCUGACCGCCCAUCUGGAGCAUCUGCAUUUGGCAAGUGGGAAUGCCAGCAGAGCAUCUUCUGAACAGGUUGUGUCUUUUAUGGAAUGAGCUGGACUUCAUGUACAUCAUUGCUGCAACACCUGUUCCUUGGCCAACAAAUGAAAGCAGGAAAUUUGUGAAGGAUACAAAGCAAGCAGCC
rnacentral:lncRNA from 1 species